UCCUGGUUAACCCAGGCAGUCUCAUUAGAGUCCCCAGCAUUACCUGUUGGCAACUAAUGAUAAGGGUUGCGCUCGUUGCGGGACUUAACCCAACACCUCACGGCACGAGCUGACGACAGCCAUGCAGCACCUGUGCAGAAGCCCCGAAGGGAACUAUCAUUUCUGAUAGCGUCUUCUGCAUGUCAAGUCUAGGUAAGGUUCUUCGCGUUGCAUCGAAUUAAACCACAUGCUCCACUGCUUGUGCGGGUCCCCGUCAAUUCUUUUGAGUUUCACCCUUGCGAGCGUACUCCCCAGGCGGUAUACUUAUCGCGUUAGCUUCGGCACAGUCAGGGUUGAGUCCGACUACACCAAGUAUACAUCGUUUACGGCGAGGACUAC
rnacentral:misc_RNA from 1 species